CGGCGGUUUAGGAGUGGCAGCGAUGUCUUACGUUGCGGUGGAUUACCUGCGCCACCUAUCCCCGACUUGGCACGAGCGUCUACAACCAGCACUUUGGUCCGUACUAGCUCUAAUCGCCAUCUCUCGUGUCCCUUUUUACAGGCACUGGUCCUCCGAGGUUCGCGCUGCCAUCCCAUUUGUUGCUUCUAUGUUCUUUAUGCUCGCCUGUCUCCUCUUCGAGGCCUUAUGUGUGCGCUUCGCCACCGCCGUGCUUGGCCUGGAUUGGCACCGUGAUACAUCUCCUCUUCCUGACACUGGCCAGUGGUUGCUCCUCUCACUGAAUGAGAAACUUCCUGAACCAUUGGUUGAGAUACUGAGGGCUCAUAUUAUUGGACUGCACCAUUUCCUGAUGUUGUUUAUGAUGCUGGCAUUCUCUGUGCUAUUUGACUCUGUAGAAGCCCCUGGUCUUGGACUAGGAGCAAGGUAUAUGUUCACCAUGGCAAUUGGCCGUUUUCUUCGGGCCAUAACUUUUGUAUCAACUAUUCUUCCAUCAGCCCGACCUUGGUGUGCUGCAGCUCGGUUUUCAGUUCCAACAUACCCUCAUCAUUGGGCUCAAAAGUAUUAUGUCCCUUAUGCCUCAGAUGCUAAUGCUAUUCGUCAGAUAAUACAAUGGGAUAUAGCUUAUGCCGACACUGGGGAAUACCAGGGUGAUUACCAUCCAGAUUGGGGUUCAAUGAGUUUCCUGAUAGAUUUCUUGCGACCUACUACACAAGGAUCUUGGUACAGUCUUCUGAAGAAAGCUGGAGGUGGCUGCAAUGACCUCAUUUACAGUGGUCACAUGCUUGUUGCUGUACUAACAGCUAUGGCUUGGACGGAAGCUUAUGGAGGUUUUAGCUCAGCUUUCAUAUGGCUGCUUGUAUUGCACAGUGCACAAAGAGAAAUACGGGAACGACACCAUUAUACUGUAGACUGUAUUGUGGCCAUAUAUGUUGGUAUCCUUCUGUGGAAAAUGACUGGUUAUAUCUGGCCAACCAAAGAUGUCACAAAAAGUCGAAAGCUCUUGAAGCUUGAGAAAAUUCAGAGUAGAUUAGUUCAAGCUGCAAAAGACUCGGACAUGGACGAAGUGAGAGAGCUACUCAAGGAGGUUGAGUUGAGCAGCCAGGAGAGCCAGAAUAAAGGCCAAAGCAAGUCUAUGUGGUUGUUUGCUUGUGUGACAAUAUUCUCAGCUCUUACAAUUGUCCUUCUAGCCUUCACAUUGACGAGCGAUGGAUGAUCUUCUAACAUGAUUCUUCCCACGAGUUUGAACGUUCAAACUUGUAUUUGCAUGCGAGUCAUGUAAUAUUUGAGGGUACAAUCCCUCAAAGUAACACUUAAAGACAUGUUUGCGCAUUCACAGAAGAAUGCUCAGUAGAAAUGAUCUGAAGUUCAGUUCAGAUAGUUUAGGAUUUGCAAGUAAACGCAUUUUUGUUUUAAUCUUUGUGAACAGCUAUAAAACUUCUUCCUUUUU
rnacentral:misc_RNA from 1 species